GGGGGCGGUUGGCCUCUGGUGAGGCCCCCGGUCUUCAAAACCGGUGUCGGGCCGCGGCGCGGCCCGGGGUGGGUUCGAUUCCCAUCCGCUCCCG
rnacentral:tRNA from 2 species